GGUGUAAGGAAGGCGAGCGAUCCAGAAGAGCUCCUGCAGAAUGCAAAACUUGGCAAGAAGCAAGCGCUAAAUUCGUACGGGAAGCAGCGGGAGCGAUGUGGAGGGAGGAGACACAUCCUCGGCUCCCGGCACAGCGUCCUGCUGCACCUGCUGCCCUGUGGGAAGCGACAUUUUCCCGGAGGCAGCGGGGUGGCUCCCAGCCCCAGUUUGUGAGCAUCACGCCCCGCCAGCACCGCUCGGCACGGGCUGCGGGACAGACAAAAGACCGGCAAGGCCGAGCUAUAAAUCACACCCAGGAUCGCAGCGCUCAGGGGGGCGAUGUGCAGAGCCAGGGGAGCGGCGCGGGGCUGUGUCCGUGAGCUGUCCCCGGCCGGGGAUGGCAGCGGCGGUGCCGGCUGCUGCUGCUGCGCUACUGCGGCUGCGAUGGAGCCCCGUUCUGCCUCUGCCUGCAGCUCCCGGGCUGCACACAUGCACCUCAUAUGCAUCCCUACGUGCACGCACAGGGAGAUAGCUGCGUGCAUAUAGAUAUUCAGCAGUGCCAAGGAGAGGAAAAUGUUGUCUGGCAAGUUAUUGUGGUACCAGGAGUGCCCUUUGGUAAAAAUUGCUUCUCUUGUUAAUUGCCUGCAGCACUGAGGAUGGAUUUGCACGGGUUUGGUUGUACUCCAUGAGAACUGGGAACCUGAGAGCCACUGAAGGGCCCUUGUGGACAGAAACCAAAAGAGCAGAGCUCUCUGCAGUGAGCACCACGAGCACUGUGCUCUGAGAAGGAAUUCUAGGGGAGCAGCAUUCUUUUGUGGGGCUGACCUGGUGUCUUAAAGGCCCAGCUGCUGGAAUCCUCCCACCCCAGAACCUCAGGGGGCAGAAGAGAGAGAAGCCUCUCGUUGUCAUUACUGGGAAGUUCUCAUCAUCCCACCACACUCUUGGACUACAAAGAAAAGAGAGGUUUUUUAACCUCGAGUUUUCUACCUUUCCACUCAAAAGUAUUUAGUGUUUGAGGAAGAAGAUGUUUGGAUAUUGAGGGUGGAAAUGCUCAAUUUGUAGCAAUACUGGUAUCUAGCUGAGCCCUGCUAUGGGCUAGGGCUACGUUUGUGUGUAUAUAAAUUUAUUACAUUUAUAGAUAACUACAGAACUCUGCCAUGUCACCAUGAAUGCAUUAUCAGAACAUUCUAUUGCAGGAGUUUCAAAAACCUCUCAGAUUAUGUAUCACAUUCAAUUCUGUGGGCAAAAUUGACAGACCUAAACAAUUUGCAACCAAGCAGGGUAGAAUAAUGAGUGUAAUUUGUAAUUUGUUUUUUUAUGAGCACUGUUUUUCAAUAAGU